UGGGGAAUAUUGCACAAUGGGCGCAAGUCUGAUGCAGCCAUGCCGCGUGUAUGAAGAAGGCCUUCGGGUUGUAAAGUACUUUCAGUCGGGAGGAAGGUGUCAAGGUUAAUAACCUUGGCAAUUGACGUUACCGACAGAAGAAGCACCGGCUAACUCCGUGCCAGCAGCCGCGGUAAUACGGAGGGUGCAAGCGUUAAUCGGAAUUACUGGGCGUAAAGCGCACGCAGGCGGUUGAUUGAGUCAGAUGUGAAAUCCCCGGGCUUAACCCGGGAAUUGCAUCUGAUACUGGUCAGCUAGAGUCUUGUAGAGGGGGGUAGAAUUCCAUGUGUAGCGGUGAAAUGCGUAGAGAUGGGGAGGAAUACCGGUGGCGAAGGCGGCCCCCUGGACAAAGACUGACGCUCAGGUGCGAAAGCGUGGGGAGCAAACAGG
rnacentral:rRNA from 1 species